rnacentral:lncRNA from 1 species
UGUUCUUGUCUUAAUUUAAUUAUUUUCGUCCAAAAUCAACCCCAUCUUAUUUCUUUGAGUCAUAUUAAUUAAAACUUGUCUUAGAUUAUGUUUUUAAGUGUUUUAGUUCAUUAGAAAACCAAAAUUCGUCCAAGUUUGUAUUAGAGUCCCAAAACUGCCCAGAUUGUAUGUUUAAGGUAGUUUUGAGUGUUUAGGGGCUGUUUUAAGUCUUUUGGUUUGUUUUAGUGUUUUAAAGUAUAGUUUUGCAUUCUUUGAGUCUAGUUAGUGUUUUAAACUUUGU